CUUUGCAUUGUCUCUGUACUGAAAUGUGCUAUAUAAAUAAAUUUGCCUUGCCUUGCCUUGCCUUGCCUCAAGGUGAGUGUCCGCCCUGGACCAGCCACCAUGGGUCUUGUGGGUCUUUUGGGCCUCAAGGGGCCCGAAAGACCCACAAGCUGAGUAAAAAUGUGCCUCUAUGAAACUCAGUUCCUGUUGUUUUGUUGGGACAGCAAUGGGGAGAAAAUCGUCCUCUGCAGAGCGGAGGACCCGACUGAGUUCAGAGAUUCACCGACCCAAUCGAAGCUAACUUCUGCGCAACCAGCCGUGAAGUAAGGAAUGCCGAAACAGCUUUGUUUAUUUUUGGCAGCUGUUGCAGGAAAGCGGACGCAAGACGGCAGAUUGGUCGCCUUCCCCACCAGACAAGCUGAGAACUCAGAGACUGCAUGCAGGAUGCAGGACCCGGUCUACCAUGUUCCGACCACAUUUCAGCUAGUCGCAGAGCCGCUAGCCCGCUGAUGAAAGAACCAACACAUCCCCUGCUUUCCACUGUUCUUCCUUGGAUGGCAAAAGUGAGCCGAACUCACACGAGGCACCAACUGGUUCGGCAAAGAAACCACAGGGAAAGUUGAAGGGUUUGUUUGGAAAGCUUGUGUAAUGCGGUUAUGUAACCCAAAGGUAACUAGAGUUACUCUUUGGUGCGUUUAAGGUGCAUCGUUUUUUUUGCACUGUUGCGACAGUUUGCAACAAGUUACGACAGUUUUGCGACAGUCUGGCGGUUUGCUGCCCCGAGUGAAAAUCGCGGGCUUUAAGCAACGUAGGAGAUACCAGAGCAACGCAUCUGUUCUCGUCCAGUUCACAACUGUGACUUUUCAUUGUUAGUGGCGGCGGUCAUGGAGACACAACAGAGGGAGAGAGAGAGACCAAAGAUACGGCGGUCGGUUGACACGGGUGAGAGAGGGGGAGAGAGAGAAAGCUUGGCUGAGGUGCCCCGGUGCUCACGGAGGACGUCUGGAAAUUUCUCGAUUAUCCUGCAGGCAAGACACAGACAUAUUCCCCAACUCCCCUCUGCAAUACAUACACAUGAACACUGCCUAAAAAACGAGCUCUAAUUUGUUUUAUUUUGCUGGCCAGCUUUUAUUUUAUUUUAUUUUUGAAAGGACAGUUAGGAGCCCUUUUUGUUGGACUCCUGAACGGGUGAACUAUUUUUUUUUUUUUUCAGUAGAUACUCCAGAAGGGAAGGACACUAUUUCCUGAAAAUUAAAAUUACCGGAGUUAUCUCCUUUGCUUGAAGAUUUUAAGUUGAUCUGUGAAUUACAGCGCUGGAUGUCAUUAUAAGGUCCUUAUCCACAAUAUUGUUUUAUUAUUGUGUAUUAAUAAAUGUUAAAGGAUACUGAGGUGUAGUGCAUUUCUGUUCCAGAAAUAUAUUAAUAAAUUCUGGUUGAUAGUAAACUGCUAUCAGGACUCUGAGUAUCUUGAUUUGGUUACA